UACUUGUGAUGAGCCUAUCCCAAACCUGAACUUCUAUUGAAAGAACUAUGAUGGAUCUGGCUUCUGAGAU